CUCCCGCUAGGAGGAGCGCUCGGCACUUGCUGAGCGGCCUAUGCGUGGCAGGUCAGGUGGGCGGGAGGAGCGCCGGGUCCUGCCCUCCCCGCGGUCCCCGGGUGCUGGCAGGCUUUCAGAGGCUGGAGGACCGAGGAGGAGGAGGAGGAGGAGGAGGUCUGGCUGCCAGGAAGGGUGGGGCUGCCAGACAGCGCAGAGCCGCACUGUGACCCAGCCAUCCCGGAAACGCUCCCAACCUUGGCCCUGAGCGCGCACAUCCGGCCGGGAGGGGUGUCGGCCAGGCAGGCAGGGGGACAGAGGAAAGCAGGACCUCAGGUUACCCAUCUCUGCAACUGCCAGCACCUGGUAGUCACUCAGCACAGAUGUGCUGAGCAGGAUCCCAGGAUCUCUCCAUCGCAGUAGACAGGCAGUAGACAGACCAGGCCACAGCAAGGUUCCUAGGAAUCCUCACCAGGCUACCUCGCUGUGGGAGUGGAGGAGGCAGAACCGAAGAGUCCUUUCUGUGUCCCAGAUACUCCAGGCCUGGGAGAAGGGGUUGAGUGGAAAGACACCUGCUUCCUUUGCUGACAUCACUGUGGGAGGCCUUCUCACCACGUCCUGAUGGAGGAGGUGACGUGGACCUGGAAUGGCUUGCCUGGAGCCCGGAGCCCUGAGUCACAGGCUCUGGCCCAUGUACUUGAGAAGCACGGACUCUUGUGUCAUGGCUUUAAAGGAUGCCAGGGCUGGCUCAACCUUAUGCAGCUAGGUGUGAGAGGGAAAGGGUACAGGCGGGGCUGAGAGUGGGUAUCCUUACUCCAACAUACCACCUCGCCUACAAACUACAAGUGUAGCUCAGCUUUUCCCUCCCUUGCCCCCUGCCCUGCGUUUGUCUUUCUGUCAAGCCAGAACUGCCCCUUCCUCCCCUCAUUUUGACUCUUUCUGGGCUGGGGUUCAACAGGCCACAUGGAUUUAGAGCCGGAAGGAGUCCACGGGGGAAACAUAACCCAUCCCGGAAACCUCAGCAGUGGGAGAGUAGUCAUGCAGGUGUGAGAAAUGAUGAAGGGUACAGUUGGGGACAGCAGCCUGAAGCCUGACGGGAAAGGAAGCUGCUGUCGUCCCCGGCUUCAGGGCCAUAGAGAAGCUGGCAUUGCCAGAAGUCAGAGGGGGACUGGGACCUUGGUGCAGAUUUCUUGGUAGGAGUUGGGGCUCCAGGGGUGGUGGUGUUGCCAGGCAAAAGGCAAAAAGACUGGUCCUCAUCACCCUCCUCCUUUUCCUCUUUCUCCUCUCCAGGUCAUCUGGCAGUAGGAGGGUCCUUGACAAUGAUAGUUUGCAAGAAUGUCUCAGAAGGGAGGAAUGGAGGGUGGGCAGUAGGUCCUCGAUCUGAGGCAGAACCGGUCACAGGCCCAUUCGCCAGGCAUCCCUCUAAUGCUGGACUAGGAGAACUGAAAAGCACCUGCCUUUGAAGAUUGCCCUCCCUGCCGCCGCCCCCCCCCAGUAGUUGUUACCUCAGUUCUGAAUGAGGUGGGAAGGAACCAGCCAUUUUGGAAGAUGAUUUGCUUCCUGCACAUUUUUCCCCCCUAGAAGAUAGAGCAGUGUCUGGGGCUUAACUGAACACCAGAUGUUUUGAUAGGCCAUCACAGCAAGAUCUGUAGGGACGGUAAGAUGGACUGAUGGACAUGCCCUUUUGGAUGAUGCCAGACUCCAGUCAGGCGGCUUAGCAGUCAGCUCAGACAUACUGCUGAACUUUGAGUUUCAGGCUCUGUGUCAGUUCAAAUAGGGACUUGGCCAUUUUCAGGGCUCUAUAAAAAUGAACGGCAAAAUGAGCCAGAGAAUGUAUAAGGAGAUUGCUUUUGCCUGUAAACAAGGUCCCCACAGGAGAGCUGGCUUGGCUCACAGUUGUCCUCAUGACGCCCUCUGGGGUGGGCAUCUGUAACCUUCAUCUCAUCACCACAGAAAUAAACGGUAUUCAAGAGGCAGCUUGUCCACCAUCUCCCUGAAAUUAAGAGUUUGCUCUUCAAAGUCUUCAAACCCUCUCCUUCUUUAUCUCUUUUACCUCCCUCCCCUUGUUUCAAAGAUGUUUUGGAACGGGUGGGAAUGCUGGUCCUACUGGAGCUGGGUCUGGGCCCAUUGGCCAGCUCUCCGGGACUUUUUGAACAGUCUGUGGACAUUGACGAUUGUAUAGCUCUAAUAACAGGAGAUUCACCAUUUUGUGGGACAACAUAAUUUUCCAUAUUAAAACUGAGCUCUGCCUCUCUGCUUGUUCGGACUCCUUGGAUCUUUGUGGGACAAGGGUAGCCCCAUUUUCCAUGUCACAGCCCUUGAAAUGUGGGGAAAUAAACAUGGUAGG